AGCUUUGCGCAGUGGCAGUAUCGUAGCCUAUGAGGUUUAUCCGAGGCGCGAUUAUUGCUAGUUGAAAACUUUACCCAAUACCCCGCCGUGACG
rnacentral:snRNA from 1 species